rnacentral:rRNA from 1 species
UACGUAGGGGGCGAGCGUUGUCCGAGUUUACUGGGCGUAAAGCGCGCGUAGGCGGGAAAUUAAGUGAGAAGUGAAAGGCUGGGGCUCAACCUCAUGCAGUGCUUCUCAUACUGGUUUUCUUGAGGGCGGUAGAGAAAAGUGGAAUGGCUGGUGUAGCGGUGAAAUGCGUAGAUAUCAGUCGGAACACCGGUGGCGAAGGCGGCUUUUUGGGCCGUUCCUGACGCUGAGGCGCGAAAGCCAGGGGAGCGAACGGG